rnacentral:rRNA from 1 species
UACGUAGGGGGGCAAGCGUUGUCCGGAAUCAUUGGGCGUAAAGCGCGUGGUAGGCGGCUAGGUAAGUCUGCUCUGAAAGCCCGGGGCUCAACCCCCGGGAGGCGGGUGGAUACUGUCUAGCUCGAGUCCGGAAGAGGAGUGUGGAAUUUCCUGGUGUGAGCUGGUGAAAUGCGCAGAAUGUCAGGAGGAACACCAACGCGG